CUGCCGCCACUGCCGCCGCCGUCGCCGCUCCGCCUCCCGCGCGUCAUGGCCUCCGGCUCUCCCUCCUCGCCGGCCUCCCCUUCCCCUUCCGCGCCGCCGCGCCGGGUUAUCGUCUCCCACCGCCUCCCGCUCCGCGCCGCGCCCGACGCGGCCGCCCCGUUCGGGUUCUCCUUCACCGUCGAUGCGAGCACCGUCGCGUACCAGCUCCGCUCGGGCCUGCCGCCGUCGGCCCCGGUCCUCCACAUCGGCACGCUCCCGGCGGCCGCCGCCGAGGAUUUCUCCGACGAGCUCGCCGCCUACCUGCUGGCCAACUUCUCCUGCCUGCCCGUCUACCUCCCCGCCGACCUCCACCGCCGCUUCUACCACGGCUUCUGCAAGCACUACAUGUGGCCGCUCCUCCACUACCUUCUCCCGCUGACCCCGUCGACGCUGGGCGGGCUCCCGUUCGACCGCUCGC
rnacentral:lncRNA from 1 species